rnacentral:rRNA from 1 species
GACAGAGGGUGCAAACGUUGCUCGGAAUCACUGGGCGUAAAGGGCGUGUAGGCGGGAAGGAAAGUCAGAUGUGAAAUCCCUGGGCUCAACCCAGGAACUGCAUUUGAAACUCCCUUUCUUGAGUGUCGGAGAGGAAAGCGGAAUUCCUGGUGUAGAGGUGAAAUUCGUAGAUAUCAGGAGGAACACCGGUGGCGAAGGCGGCUUUCUGGACGACAACUGACGCUGAGACGCGAAAGCUAGGGGAGCGAACAGG